rnacentral:rRNA from 1 species
AAUCAACGCUGGCGGCGUGCCUAACACAUGCAAGUCGAACGCGAAAGCCCCGCAAGGGGUAAGUAGAGUGGCAAACGGGUGAGUAACACGUGGGUGACCUGCCUUCGAGUGGGGGAUAACGUCCCGAAAGGGACGCUAAUACCGCAUGACAUCCUGCUUUUGAAAAAGCGGAGAUCAAAGCUGGGGAUCGCAAGACCUAGCGCUUGAAGAGGGGCCCGCGCCUGAUUAGCUAGUUGGUGAGGUAACGGCUCACCAAGGCGACGAUCAGUAUCCGGUCUGAGAGGGCGGACGGACACACUGGGACUGAGACACGGCCCAGACUCCUACGGGAGGCAGCAGUGGGGAAUUGUUCGCAAUGGGCGCAAGCCUGACGACGCAACGCCGCGUGGAGGACGAAGAUCUUCGGGUCGUAAACUCCUGUCGAGCGGGACGAACGCUUCGCGGAUGAAUAAUCCGCGGAAUUGACGGUACCGCUAAAGGAAGCCCCGGCUAACUCCGUG